AAACUACUCGGCUCAUCUGGGUCACUUGUUUGGUAUCUUGAUAUGGAAUACCUUACUGUGCUUGCAGCAUUCUGACCAACUAAGACAGAUCUUCAACUACCAUGUCAGCAGUUUAGGUCUUAUUUCACCUGGUGUCCUGGUUCCAGAUGAAGAUGAAAGACAUGUGGAGUAGAGCCUUCCCAGAUCUGCUGUCCCAAGCAAGGAGGUUAGUCUACUGAACAUGAGAACAAAGUCAAAGGAAAGAAUGCCCUCUGAAGUCCCUUCCAACACAGUGACUCAUUGAUAUACUGAUGAAGGAUAUCGUAGUAGAAGAAGCAGCAUCACUCCUGUCCCUAGGGUAGCACAUAUUCAAUCAAUGUCUGAAAUAUUAUCAAUUGGACACUGCAUUACUGCUGUUAUUGAAAACAAAAAAAGGAGAAGCUAUUUGGAGACAAAAAAGGAAUUCAGGAGCAUUAGGCAUCACACCCAGAGGAAGAAUUUAGAUGUGACAGUUAAUGGGUAUAUUUUGUUGAAGCUAAGUUCUUUUAAUGUCAAGCUAUUAUAUCUUCGACAUACAGAGAAGAGAAGGUGCCAAGAUUUCUAACAAAAGCUUUUUAGAUAAAGCGGGAGAAGACAUCUCACGCGGGACUUUUCAGUCUAUAAAUAGGUCGACUGAAGUGAAAAAGACUCAUCUUAAAUGCAGAUGGCACUAUGCCCUGACUGCAAUCCUGGAGCAGCACAAAGUACAUGGGCUAAGCACAAGGGUGAAUCAUUCAAUGUUUCCUGACUUGGAUGCAAUGAGAGCCUCUGUCUCAAGCUCUCGCUGCUGUGACUUGCCUGCCUCCAUCACCAUACUGUUGGCCAGAGCACUUCCUUCCUUCCUCUCCCACAUCUCUUUCUAUUGUUCUUGCUACUGUAAUUAUUAUCAUUAUUGUAUGUACAUAUUGUGCCAUCAUUUGAUAUGGAGGUCAGCAGAUAGUCUUAUGGAGUUGGUUCUAUCUGCCCAUCUUUCUGUGUAAUGAGGGAUUAAACUUAGGUUGCCAGUUUUGUAUGACAAACACCAUGACUGGGCUUUCGGGCUGGCCUCUUCCUUUCCUGGGUUUCUUUCAUUGGGUCUUUUGUUCUAGUAGUGUGAAAACUAAUAUGGCACAUGGAUAAAGGAAAAUUUCACAUAGUAAAGGUAUCACACUUUGUUUCAUUGUUUUUUUGACCAAAGUACGUUUUCAAAGAUGACCACUGUAUAAAACACAAAAAGAAACAAUUAUUUGAGUUGUACCAAGGAGACAACCCAGUGUUCUUUCUUCAGCUGUCU